rnacentral:rRNA from 1 species
UACGUAGGGUGCGAGCGUUUAAUCGGAAUUACUGGGCGUAAAGCGUGCGCAGGCGGUUUUGUAAGUCAGAUGUGAAAUCCCCGAGCUCAACUUGGGAACUGCGUUUGAAACUACAAGACUAGAAUAUGUCAGAGGGGGGUAGAAUUCCACGUGUAGCAGUGAAAUGCGUAGAGAUGUGGAGGAAUACCAAUGGCGAAGGCAGCCCCCUGGGAUAAUAUUGACGCUCAUGCACGAAAGCGUGGGGAGCAAACAGG